GACGAACGCUGGCGGCGUGCUUAACACAUGCAAGUCGAGCGAUGAAGCUCCUUCGGGAGUGGAUUAGCGGCGGACGGGUGAGUAACACGUGGGUAACCUGCCUCAUAGAGGGGAAUAGCCUUCCGAAAGGAAGAUUAAUACCGCAUAAGAUUGUAGUUCCGCAUGGGACAGCAAUUAAAGGAGCAAUCCGCUAUGAGAUGGACCCGCGUCGCAUUAGCUAGUUGGUGAGGUAACGGCUCACCAAGGCGACGAUGCGUAGCCGACCUGAGAGGGUGAUCGGCCACAUUGGGACUGAGACACGGCCCAGACUCCUACGGGAGGCAGCAGUGGGGAAUAUUGCACAAUGGGGGAAACCCUGAUGCAGCAACGCCGCGUGAGUGAUGACGGUCUUCGGAUUGUAAAGCUCUGUCUUUGGGGACGAUAAUGACGGUACCCAAGGAGGAAGCCACGGCUAACCACGUGCCAGCCGCCGCGGUAAUAC
rnacentral:rRNA from 1 species